rnacentral:rRNA from 1 species
CGAACGCUGGCGGCAGGCCUAACACAUGCCAGUCGAACGAACCUUUCGGGGUUAGUGGCGGACGGGUGCGUAACACGUGGGAACGUGCCUUUAGGUUCGGAAUAACUCAGGGAAACUUGUGCUAAUACCGAAUGUGCCCUUCGGGGGAAAGAUUAAUCGCCUUUAGAGCGGCCCGCGUCUGAUUAGCUAGUUGGUUGAGGUAAUGGCUCACCAAGGCGACGAUCAGUAGCUGGUCUGAGAGGAUGAUCAGCCACAUUGGGACUGAGACACGGCCCAAACUCCUACGGGAGGCAGCAGUGGGGAAUCUUGCGCAAUGGGCGAAAGCCUGACGCAGCCAUGCCGCGUGAAUGAUGAAGGUCUUAGGAUUGUAAAAUUCUUUCACCGGGGACGAUAAUGACGGUACCCGGAGAAGAAGCCCCGGCUAACUUCGUG